rnacentral:rRNA from 1 species
GACGAACGCUGGCGGCGUGCUUAACACAUGCAAGUAGAACGGAAAGGCCCUGCUUUUGUGGGGUGCUCGAGUGGCGAACGGGUGAGUAACACGUGAGUAACCUGCCCUUGACUUUGGGAUAACUUCAGGAAACUGGGGCUAAUACCGGAUAGGAGCUCCUGCUGCAUGGUGGGGGUUGGAAAGUUUCGGCGGUUGGGGAUGGACGCGCGGCUUAUCUGCUUGAUGGUGGGGUAGUGGCGUACCAAGGCUUUGACGGGUAGCCGGCCUGAGAGGGUGACCGGCCACAGUGGGACUGAGAUAGGGGCCAGACUCCUACGGGAGGCAGCAGUGGGGAACAGUGCACAAUGGGCGGAAGCCGGAUGCAGCAUCGCCGGGUGCGGGAUGACGGCCUUCGGGGUGUAAACCGUUUUCGCCUGGGACGAAGCGUGAGUGACGGUAAUGGGUAAAGAAGCACCGGCUAACUACGUG